UGUCCACGCACUUACUCCGUCUAACUCUCCGUUUACGAACGAACAAUGGAAAGUCCUCCCACUUCUUAUUGUUAAAAAGUAUACGGAGAGCUAAAGGGCGUAAGUGCGAUUACAGCUUUGCUAAACUUUGA